AGUGAACGCUGGCGGUAGGCCUAACACAUGCAAGUCGAACGGCAGCACAUUAAGUGCUUGCUCUUACGGGUGUCGUGUGGCGGACGGGUGAUGAAUACAUCGGAAUCUACUUUUUCGUGGGGUGUAACUUAGGGUAACUUACGCUAAUACCUCAUCCGACCUACGGGUGAAUGCUGGGGGUCUUCGAACCUUGCGUUCUUGAGUUAGCCGAUGUCGGCUUAGCUAGUUGGCGGGGUAAUGGCACACCAAGGCACCGAUCCGUAGGUGGUCUGAGAGGAUGAUGAGGCACAGUGGAAAUGAGACAGGGACACGACUCCUACGGGAGGCAGAAGUGGGGAAUAUUGGAAAAGGGGCGCAAGCCUGAUCCAGACAUAGCGCGGGGGUGAAGAAGGCCUUCGGGUUGUAAAGCUCUUUUGUUGGGAAAGAAAAGCAGCAGGUUAAGACCGAGCUGUUCUGACGGUACCCAAAGAAGAAGCACCGGCUAACUUCGUG
rnacentral:rRNA from 1 species